AGCAGCCGCGGUAAUUCCAGCUCCAAUAGCGUAUAUUAAAGUUGUUGCAGUUAAAAAGCUCGUAGUUGAAUUUCGGGAUCAGUACGCUCGUCGUGCCUUCGGUAUGCACUGGUUUCACUGAUUCCUCCCUUCUGAAGAACCGUAAUGCCAUUCAGUUGGUGUGGCGGGGAAUCAGGAUUGUUACUUUGAAAAAAUUAGAGUGUUUAAAGCAGGCUCGCGCUUGAAUACAUUAGCAUGGAAUAAUGAAAUAGGACGUUUGAUCCUAUUUUGUUGGUUUCUAGGAUUGACGUAAUGAUUAAUAGGGAUAGUUGGGGGCAUUAGUAUUCAAUUGUCAGAGGUGAAAUUCUUGGAUUUAUUGAAGACUAACUACUGCGAAAGCAUUUGCCAAGGAUGUUUUCAUUAAUCAAGAACGAAGUUAGGGGAUCGAAGACGAUCAGAUACCGUCGUAGU
rnacentral:rRNA from 1 species